CAUCGAACCAAACUAAUGGCUUCCAAGAGGCAGUCUCUUGUUUUGGUGGUUCUCUUUCUUUUUGCGUUGCUUUCUGCUGAAGCAUUGCCCAGAAAGCUAGGGAAUGCUUCGGGUCUUCAUUUUUAUUCACAAGAGGGAAGGAUACUUGCCACCCAAGCAUCUGGCAAUCGAUGUUUGCAAAGAGUCACAUCACAUGAUAAUCCUCGUUGCCACAAUUAUUAACAAUAAUAAUAAAUUAAUAACAAUAUAAUGCUUAUGAUCUAUUUAUAAAUUCAUUGUCUAAAUAGUUAUUUUGUAAAUUGUAAUGUUAUUACAAACCCAAAGGGCUCCACACCUGCUUGUUUCAAAUUA